CCGAACAAAGCUGUGAUCGUCCUUCAAUAUGCAGGGAAGAAAGCUCUUAUAGUCAAGACCUUGACGACGGAACCCGUGCUUAUGGUCAUGAAAACCGCUAAGAAGUCUCGUGUGAAGGCGUUUGUGAAGCUUGUUGGAAGCUGUUUUAAUUUUUCUUGGUUAAUUGUUUAG